rnacentral:rRNA from 1 species
UAGGGAAUUUUCGUCAAUGGGGGGAACCCUGAACGAGCAAUGCCGCGUGAGCGAAGAAGGUCUUCGGAUCGUAAAGCUCUGUUGUAAGAGAAAAACGAGCGCCAUAGGGAAUGAUGGACCAGUGAUGGUAUCUUACCAGAAAGCCACGGCUAACUACGUGCCAGCAGCCGCGGUAAUACGUAGGUGGCGAGCGUUAUCCGGAAUCAUUGGGCGUAAAGGGUGCGUAGGUGGCACGAUAAGUCUGUAGUAAAAGGCAGCGGCUCAACCGCUGUUGGCUAUGGAAACUGUCGAGCUGGAGUGCAGAAGAGGGCGAUGGAAUUCCAUGUGUAGCGGUAAAAUGCGUAGAUAUAUGGAGGAACACCAGUGGCGAAGGCGGCCGCCUGGUCUGCAACUGACACUGAAGCACGAAAGCGUGGGGAGCAAAUA